UUACCAGUCAGGCUCCUGGCUAGAUUCCAGGUACCAGCUGGUACCUGAUCUAGCCAUAGCCUGACAGUAAACUGCCCCAGAGAAGGAAGACUGUUCCUGACACCUGCGAGAGACAGCCAAAGGAGACUUAGCAUACGUGGGGGGCAUGCUGGGAUUCCUCCUACACCUUCUCUGAGUCACCUGCUCCUAUUUACUGUGCAGGAAAUGUGUUCCUGCUGUUUAAGCCUCUUCUCCUUUAAGGUUUGUCAUCCCUGUCCUGGUACUAGAGUUCUGCAUCAUCGGCAGGGAGGAUGAUGCACUGUGGGAAUCAUUUCCUGACAAAGACAAGGAAUCUAAUCAAGAGGUAACAGUUGAAUAAGCUGAAUAGCUUCAUGUACAUCUUCAAGAAAAUUGCAGGAAGCAGACCAGUUGUAAAAACAUAAUUUCUCUACCUAGUUUGCUGAGUGUUUUCCUAUGAAAUGGCUGUGGAUUUGUGAAGCAUAUGCUGUCUCUCCCUUUAACUCAUGGCAUGUAAGUUUUCCAGGAAGUUAAUCCACAAUACCACCACAUGACCUUGAAUGGAGACAAGGGCAGAUGAGUUUCAAUGCAGAUAUCCUUCAUGGAUCUCAAUCUGGAUUCCUGAACAGAAAACAAUAAAUGUGUGCACUUGGAAGUCAAGGUCUUAAUCAAGACAGCCCAGACAGAAAUGGAGGCCUUCCUCUAGAAGUCCAUGAUAGAGUCCAAAGCAGCCAGAUACAUGCUCAACUCCUAUGUACCACUAGAUGAUUUUGCCUGUUGUCAGUUGCAGCAAAACUCAUGCCAAACUGAGACAUCAGGAAGCAAUCUAAGUUCUUGUGAAGAACCUCAAAGAACCCAGACUGAUGCUAGGACAGAAGAUUACACUCUGCAAAUUGACAGCGGGCCUCAGUUGCUGAGGACAACACCCUCACACCCUGCAGAACAUGGAGCAGUCAAGCUAGUGCCUGCUUGGAGCCUUCACACCUGCAUUCUAGUCUCUUUGUGAAUUGAUCCUGACUGGACGUGCAUCAAACCUGAUGAACAACAAAAUGAACGUGAAAGAUGACCCUGUCCUGUUGAUGGUUAAAUUCAGUCCUCAACCUUACCCAUGAUCCACAUCUGCCUUGAAAAACAGAAAGACUCUGAAGAUCAUAGACAAGGAAGAGUUGGGAUGAAGUGUUUCAGUCCUUAAAAACCAUGGUCAGAAAAAUAGGAAUAUUAACAUGGGAACUUAGGUGAAGGAAAUUCAUUGCAUGUAAAGGAACAAGAAGAAGAUUCUACCAUGGAACAAGUGUGUGAGAUCCUGGAGCUUACCAUGAUGCCACAGGUGAAUACCCCCAGUAGCUGAAUGGAUAUCUUCGAGGAAAUUGCAAGAGCCAUAGACCUGGAAACAGUAAUGGUUUAAUGACCUUUCUUUCUUUUAACUCUAAUUCAAAUGGAUGGUCACUCAACAUAAAAUAUCAGUAAUUCAUCAUGUCAUUCAAAUAGUUGUUGUGAUAAUCUGAAAAAAAAAUAUUAAACCAAUCACUAUAGUAAACAAAUCAUUUUUUUUACUUUACUGAAAUAUUAUUUGAAAUGUUUUAUCAUUCUAGACAAGACUGUAGCCAGACAUUCAUAGUUUUACAUGUAAAACUGGAUAAAAAGAUAAAAAUAUUUUAUUUCACUAAUGAAACUAUGUUUUCACAUCAGUACAGAUUAUAUAUUACCUAGAAAACCAUCACAAUAUAACUAUACUUAGAUACUCCAAUAUUAUAAUUGCCAAAAUUCUGUUCAUAAGCCUAUUAAAAAAGAGACCAUCCAUAUUAUAGCAUUCAUAGGGGCUGUCAUAGAUUAGAAAUGAAAUUCUAUAAGGAAUGUUAUAUAAAAUUCUUUAAAACGUGCUUCACCAUUAGUAAAGCAUCCUAUCGGCACAGAUGAUGUCAGUGUGCAGAAAAUGAUAGAUAAGCAGACAGGACAAAUUUUCUCAGAGUUGGACCUAAAGAGAAAAUUUAAAAUUUUAAAGAUUUCUGCUAUUUUAAUUAUAAAAAGCAAUCUAACUACAUUUAUAUCUAUAAAUACAAUAUAUUUUAAUGCAAUUAUAUAACAAAAUCUUAAGAAAUAUAUGUGCUUUGGUGGAACAAUUUCUCAGUAAUUAAGAACACUUGUACCUCUUCCAGAUAUCCUGAGUUCUAAUCCCCAUAACCUAACUACAGCUAACUGCUGUCUUCAUCCCUAGGACUAGUGUAUCUCUUUCCUCCAUAAGGCCUCCAUACAAACAAGCCGUAGACAUACAUGUUGGCAAAGAACGCUUGCACAUGGAAUAAAAUAAAAUAAAUGCUGAGAAAAUAAGAAAUGUAAGUUUUAAGAAAGUUUCAUCUCUAAUUUUGCCAGUGGUUGUUUUUCAUUAUACAAGAAGUUAAGAUAUGAUAAUUCAUGAAAAUGACACAGUUUUUAGAUGUUCAGAGUGUAACUUAGGUAAAUAUAUAGCUUAAUUCACUGUAAUUUUUAGUUCUCACAAUAUGUUAGGAAGUGGUCAUUAUUUCCUCUUCCUAAGCCCAAUUCUGAAUCUAUGAUGAAUCCCUUAAAAAAUAAAAAAACUUAUGCAUAAAAUAUUUCAGCUCUCCAUUUUAGUUGGUAGAAUAGUUCCUUUGUAUACAAAACUGUUGGGUAAUUGUUACCUCUGAGUUGAAGAGAGGAAGGUUGUUUAUAGAACCAAGUAACAUAAGCGCCAUAGGACAAUCAACCAGUUCAGCAAAUUUGUAGGUUCAUAAAGGACAGCUAACUAACUGGUCUAUAGUGGAGUUGCCUCCAGAUUGAAUAGAGUGCUGUAGGAAUGUGGGUUUCAGGAGCUUUCUCCCACAGUCCUGUGGGUUGUUGUGUCACACAUGCUUCCACAUGGUUCUGUACAUAACAUCAUUAAACCUGUUGGAAUUUACAGGAUCUUUUUAAUAUUUGACUUGUCAUCUAUGUCCUGUCUUGUUGAAACUGAUCUUUCCUUUGUCAUUCCAGGAAAAGAUACACAGAAAGAAAUUACACCCAGACCUACUUGAAGAAUGUUUCCUUGCUAGUUUUCAAUGAAGUCACAUUGCAUUUCAUAGGCUUUAUAUUUAUGUGUGCUCAGUUCUUCCUUGUGCCUUAUGUGUUGGCCAGGUAGGACUCGAACUUGUACACUCAUGUGAUGCUUCUGACUCAGACCCUAGUGACCUGUGAAGACAGGAGCAUGUGACCACAUAUGACCAGUUAAUCCUCAAAACUGCCACAUACCCUGAAGGGGGACAUGGCCAGAUCAGCCUCUAUGAGACAUCAUUCUUGGAUCUCCUUCUGGAUUCCUGAGCAGGAAACAAUCUCACUGGGUUGCUCACUGUGGUCGCAAACUUGUCCCUGAAGCCAUGCUUCCUCUCAGCAUUAUGAGAAGCUCCCAAUUCAGAUGCAUGCAACAACACUCAGCUGAUGAGUCUCACUGUGCUGCUCACUGCUGUCUCAAACUCACCUCUUGAACCUCACUUCUCCUCAGCAUCAUGAGAAGUUCCCACCACAGAUGUCUACAACCACACUCAGCUGAU